AUUGAACGCUGGCGGCAGGCUUAACACAUGCAAGUCGAGCGGAGAUGAGGUGCUUGCACCUUAUCUUAGCGGCGGACGGGUGAGUAAUGCUUAGGAAUCUGCCUAUUAGUGGGGGACAACAUUCCGAAAGGAAUGCUAAUACCGCAUACGUCCUACGGGAGAAAGCAGGGGAUCUUCGGACCUUGCGCUAAUAGAUGAGCCUAAGUCGGAUUAGCUAGUUGGUGGGGUAAAGGCCUACCAAGGCGACGAUCUGUAGCGGGUCUGAGAGGAUGAUCCGCCACACUGGGACUGAGACACGGCCCAGACUCCUACGGGAGGCAGCAGUGGGGAAUAUUGGACAAUGGGGGGAACCCUGAUCCAGCCAUGCCGCGUGUGUGAAGAAGGCCUUAUGGUUGUAAAGCACUUUAAGCGAGGAGGAGGCUCUUUUGGUUAAUACCCAAGAUGAGUGGACGUUACUCGCAGAAUAAGCACCGGCUAACUCUGUGCCAGCCGCCGCAGUAA
rnacentral:rRNA from 1 species